rnacentral:rRNA from 1 species
AUUGCACGCUGGCGGCAGGCCUAACACAUGCAAGUCGAACGAGUGGCGGAUGGGUGAGUAAUGUCGGGGAAAAUGCCUGAUGGAGGGGGCUAACUACUGGAAACGGAAGCUAAUAACGCAUACCAUCGGAUGUGCACAGAUGGGAUUAGCUAGGAGGUGGGGGAAAGGCGAAACUAGGCGACGAUCCCUAGCUGGGCUGAGAGGAUGACCAGCCACAGUGGAACUGAGACACGGUCCAGACUCCUACGUGAGGCAGCAGUGGGGAAUAUUGCACAAUGGGCGCAAGCCUGAUGCAGCCAUGCCGCGUGUAUGAAGAAGGCCUUCGGGUUGUAAAGUACUUUCAGCGGGGAGGCGUUACCCGCAGAAGAAGCACCGGCUAACUCCGUGCCAGCAGCCGCGGUAAUUC